rnacentral:lncRNA from 1 species
GAACUUGUAACUUGUAACUAUAACUUUUAUGGUAUAUAGCAGGGUCAUCAUAUAAUAUAUAGGACCAAGAAAUAGAUCGUAUGUAUUAGAUUCAUAUUAUAGAAUGGUCUAUAGAUCUCGCCAUCAAUAGAUAGCUAUCUAUAGGCCUGAAAACAGGCGGCCGAUAGACACUACAGACACUCCUCAAUCUUACAGACAUGCUUUGCCGGAAGUGCGAGGUAGGACGGUGCUUAUAGGCGAUCUGGCAGCCCUUGAGCCCUCGGCUCGUAUUGGGCGGUUUGCAGGUAUAGGGAACGCACCCACGACCAUGUCACAUACACACAUACACACAUACACACAUACACACAUACACACAUACACACAUACACACAUACACACAUACACACAUACACACAUACACACAUACAC